UAUAAUGAUGAACAUGUUAUUCACACUGUUGGACCUGGAUGCUUCGGUAUUUCGGGAAUGAACAUUAACAUACAAAAAUCUGAUUUAAUGAGGUGAGU
rnacentral:snoRNA from 1 species